rnacentral:rRNA from 1 species
ACUCCUACGGGAGGCAGCAGUGGGGAAUAUUGCACAAUGGGGAAACCCUGAUGCAGCCAUGCCGCGUGUGUGAAGAAGGCCUCGGUUGUAAGCACUUCAGUAGGAGGAAGGUAGUGUAGUUAACACCUGCAUUAUUUGACGUUACCUACAGAAGAAGCACCGGCUAACUCCGUGCCAGCAGCCGCGGUAAUACGGAGGGGUGCGAGCGUUAAUCGGAAUUACUGGGCGUAAAGCGCAUGCAGGCGGCCUGUUAAGUCAGAUGUGAAAGCCCGGGGGCUUAACCUCGGAAUUGCAUUUGAAACUGGCAGGCUAGAGUCUUGUAGAGGGGGGUAGAAUUUCAGGUGUAGCGGUGAAAUGCGUAGAGAUCUGAAGGAAUACCAGUGGCGAAGGCGGCCCCCUGGACAAAGACUGACGCUCAGAUGCGAAAGCGUGGGGAGCAAACAGGAUUAGAUACCCUGGUAGGAAA